UGGGGUUCUUCAGCUGCGGUCUGUUGAAUCAGUACAAAGUGGGCCUGCUUCUCCUCUGCAACGGGCUUGGCACCAGUGUAACUUCAUUAACAGAGCAGCUUUGCAUUAAUGAGAGGAGCAAUCAAGAAACUCAGGUUUUGAGGAAGGCCCCUGUAGUAAUGAGGUGACAAGUCGUGAUUCCUCCCCUCAUCAGCCCCAGUGACACCACCCUUACUCACCCGGAGUGGCACUUCACUGCGCAGGUGCUCCCUGGAUGCUUCUGUGACUGCUUGUGUACUACGGUGCCACUCUGGGUGAGGUAGAGCAUGUUUUUCUCAGAGCUAUUUUAUUCCCUUUCCUUGAAAUGACAACGCGUUGGAUAACUAUUUUUAUCUUGGGCCACGAAGAAAACUUCUGAGGAUUAAAUGUAAAUCUGCUUUGUUAAGUGACCGUACCAAAACCUCUCCCUGUUUAAGACUUCUGCGCCGCCAAGUGAAACGGGCAGGACCUGAAGCUGGGACGUGCCAGGAAGCGGGCUGGUGAGCUGCACGGUGAUGCUGAGUCAGCACUUGGGGAGUGAGGAAGAGAAGGAGAUGGACUUCAACAGCAACAUGAACUUGCGGGAUGUUCACGAUGCAAGACACAGUGCUGCUUUUAACGUGGAUGGGGAGAUGAUUCAGGACUGAUACAGGUGCUUCAGUGAUCUGGUCUGAACAUCCAGUGAGAGUACAGUAAAGUUAGCAGAAAGCAGAUUCAGAUGGAAAAAGAAAAAAGAAAGAUUUAACAUGAAGAUUAUCUCUACUGUAGGUAAUAGGUAAGCAGGCAAAGUAGCUGGUGUUUAUUAUGACUUUUUUUUGCUUAGCAGGAAAUGCACUAGGAAUGUCCCCUGGGUGUGGAUGACUAGAAAAUGCACUGGGGCAUGAGUGAUAGCAGAUGGACAAUCAUCCCUCCUUGGCUUGGCUGGCCCCUUGCUGUGAACCUCUGGCAGAGGGUGCCUCUUUCUGCCCAGCUCUUGCAAAAGCUCUGGUGGUGCCCCUCUCUGCAGUACCUGGGGCUGGCUGCUCUGGGUGGGCAGAGACUUCACUCGGUGGGCAGGAGUUACAGCUCAGUCGUUGGCACCUUCCCUUCUACAAAUGAAUCCGACAGAAACUGGUUUGCAGAGUUGAACCUCUGUAGGAAAGUGGAUCUCUGUGAAAGACAGAGGGGUUUGGGAGCCUUCUGCCCAUGCCACGUCUGCUGGGGAAGUUUGUGGCUGGGAGAAGAAGCAGGGAAAACCUCAGUGCUACACCUCGUUUUGCUUUCUUCUCCUGCUGCUGUCCAGUGGUCAAACAAGAGAAGACCCUGGACUCAGUAGCAGCACCAUCAGUGGGAAUGCAGCUCAUCCUCCUCAUUUCGUGGGUCCACUCCUUUACCUUGACUUGUUUCCCUCUGUACUCCAAUUAUGUCUCUGUUUUGCCCCCUCACCAAGGCUAAAAUAAAAAUAAAAAGGGACAAUUAUUAUUGUUUGAGCAACCUGCUUAUAUGGCUGUCACAGAAAGCCACCAUAGUUUAUGCCACAUGCGGCACCUUCUUCCCUACUGCCAUGCCAUCCCUGCUCAGGACAUCUCUUUUCUUUC